UGGGGAAUAUUGGACAAUGGGGGCAACCCUGAUCCAGCAAUGCCGCGUGUGUGAAGAAGGUCUUCGGAUUGUAAAGCACUUUCGACGGGGACGAUGAUGACGGUACCCGUAGAAGAAGCCCCGGCUAACUUCGUGCCAGCAGCCGCGGUAAUACGAAGGGGGCUAGCGUUGCUCGGAAUGACUGGGCGUAAAGGGCGUGUAGGCGGUUUACACAGUCAGAUGUGAAAUC
rnacentral:rRNA from 1 species